rnacentral:rRNA from 1 species
ACGCUCGACACCUACGAGAGGCAGCAGUCGGGAAUAUUGCGCAAUGGAGGAAACUCUGACGCAGUGACGCCGCGUAUAGGAAGAAGGUUUUCGGAUUGUAAACUAUUGUCGUUAGGGAAGAGAAAGGACAGUACCUAAGGAGGAAGCUCCGGCUAACUACGUGCCUGCAGCCGCGGUAAUCUGAGCGGGCUGGCAAGGC